GAUGAACGCUGGCGGCGUGCCUAAUACAUGCAAGUCGAGCGAACGGACGAGAAGCUUGCUUUUCUGAUGUUAGCGGCGGACGGGUGAGUAACACGUGGAUAACCUACCUAUAAGACUGGGAUAACUUCGGGAAACCGGAGCUAAUACCGGAUAAUAUUUUGAACCGCAUGGUUCAAAAGUGAAAGACGGUCUUUCUGUCACUUAUAGAUGGAUCCGCGCUGCAUUAGCUAGUUGGUAAGGUAACGGCUUACCAAGGCAACGAUGCAUAGCCGACCUGAGCGGGUGAUCGGCCACACUGGAACUGAGACACGGUCCAGACUCCUACGGGAGGCAGCAGUAGGGAAUCCUCCGCAAUGGGCGAAAGCCUGACGGAGCAACGCCGCGUGAGUGAUGAAGGUCUUCGGAUCGUAAAACUCUGUUAUUAGGGAAGAACAUAUGUGUAAGUAACUGUGCACAUCUUGACGGUACCUAAUCAGAAAGCCACGGCUAACUACGUG
rnacentral:rRNA from 1 species